AAAACCUUAAGUUAAUAAAACUAUUAACCUUCAAAGUUAAAAAUUACUAAAAUUUUAGUAGGUUUUA
rnacentral:tRNA from 1 species